GAUGAACGCUGGCGGCGUGCCUAAUACAUGCAAGUCGAGCGAACGGACGAGAAGCUUGCUUCUCUGAUGUUAGCGGCGGAAGGGUGAGUAACACGUGGAUAACCUACCUAUAAGACUGGGAUAACUUCGGGAAACCGGAGCUAAUACCGGAUGAUAUUUUGAACCGCAUGGUUCAAAAGUGAAAGACGGUCUUGCUGUCACUUAUAGAUGGAUCCGCGCUGCAUUAGCUAGUUGGUAAGGUAACGGCUUACCAAGGCAACGAUGCAUAGCCGACCUGAGAGGAUGAUCGGCCACACUGGAACUGAGACACGGUCCAGACUCCUACGGGAGGCAGCAGUAGGGAAUCUUCCGCAAUGGGCGAAAGCCUGACGGAGCAACGCCGCGUGAGUGAUGAAGGUCUUCGGAUCGUAAAACUCUGUUAUUAGGGAAGAACAUAUGUGUAAGUAACUGUGCACAUCUUGACGGUACCUAAUCAGAAAGCCACGGCUAACUACGUG
rnacentral:rRNA from 1 species